GUUGUUGUUGAUGUGGUUGCUGCUGCUACUAUUGUAGUGUUGUCGCUGCUGCUAUUGUUGAUGCUGCUGUUAUUGUUGCUGCUAGUGUUGUCACUGCUGCUGGUUUUGUCACUGCUGCUGGUGCUGUCACUUUUUCUUGAUGUUGCUGAUGUCGCUGCUAAUCCUUCGCAGCCCAGAUUAUUUCGAAGCCUGGUGACUUAUUAUUUCAAGGUUCAGUCAAUGCCCGUUGGCCAGUUAAAUAAUUGCUUAAGGCGAGUCUUAAGACGUUGCGCCUUUUGCAAUAAUAUAUGACUUGAUAUUGAAUGCUCUUUUGUUUCCACAAGCCGUUGGGCGUUGUGCUCUUUAUUGUUAUCCAAAUCGAAUUAAAGCUAGAAAUAAUUUCAACUUAAUUCUAAAUAUCCAAAAUGCUGACUACGCGCUUGUGCGUUCGUUGACUGCUAGCAGUUGGCUACUUGCUGGAGUUGGAUGUUGAAGUAUCGGGUUGCAAGAAUUUCAUCUUAUGAUGUCUGCAAUAAGUGAUGACUUAGCACCAACAUCAUGCCGUCAACGCGUGUUUUAUGGAUGAAAAUGGAAUUUUUUUCAUAGUCUGGCAUAAGACUAAAGUUUACUGAAUUAAUGUUGCCAUAUUUUAUAUUGAUAGUAUGGCAAUACCAGCAAAAUGUAUUCAAAUAAAGAAAUGAUUCACUUCUAAUUUCUUUUAAAUUAAAAUGAAGAUACCAUUGUGAAAAAAUACAGUGACUACCAGCAACAUUUGCAAAUGAUUCUCAUUUUAUUGCCGUAUCUCUGAAAAAUACAUUUAUUAUCGGGUGCUUAUUUUUUUAUUGUCUUUCUCCUUCUUCGACAUGGUUGGCAGGUACCCGAAGUACACAUAUGCCAAGUACUGCUUGGUUAUUGAUUACUUAAUAAUCGUAUUUUGUUUUGUUUAUGUUUCUGCUAUCUCACAGUUAGAGAAAAUCAGAGUUGAAGAUUGCACUUGUGAAUGAAGUUUGAUAGUUCGAUGAAAUUUUCUGGCGAGAAUAUUUUUAGAAUUGAUGGUAAGUCCUUGUACCUUUCGAAGAUUUUAAAUUGUUUCCUUUCGUUGCAGAAUUUUGGGCAAACAAAAAUUUGGUGAUUCUCACUUUCAGUGAUUCCACAAAGUGUGCAGAUGUCUGAGCUCUCGAAUUUAAUGCGAUGUGACAUCUUGCUUGCUAAUGAACCAGUAAGAUUUUGGUGGUGUGUUGAAUUGUGAAAAAUAAUCAUAAAUUGCAGAGUAUGCGUCUGUAAUUGAAGCAUUGGUGGUAAUUAUAGAGCCAACUGUAGCUGCGUGCUUAGCAAAAUAAUCGACUAGUUCGUUUGCUGGUAUGCCAAUAUGCGAGGGAGUCCAUAUGAAAAUAAGCGAUUUUAUUUCAGAUGAAUCGCACUUUAGCGUUUUCUUCUGGUGGAUAUGGGCUUUGGUUGUUUGCUGAUUCUGGAAUGACUAUUUGUUAAAAUUUCUUUAAAACAUCAAGACCUUCUGUGCAAUUAAGAGACUAACUUUAGAAAAAUUUUGAUGAUCAAAUACUGCUUUGGAUGGAUUUACGUGGAUUGGUUUUGCAAUGGCAUCUUGAUUUUUAUACCCUACGCCACAAGGUGGUCAGGGUAUUAUGUCUUUGUGCAUUUGUUUGUAACAGGCAAAAGGAAACGAGAUAGACCCAUAGUUCCUUUUGAUGAUCUGCAUAGAAUCACAUUCUGAGUCGAUUUAUGCAAGUCCGUCUGUCCAUGUAUUUUUGUAAACAAAGUACAGUUCGCAUUUAUUGCCCUAUCCAGAUCAUUUGUUUGGCCCAAGGACGAACCCUAUUUGCAAUUGGAGAUAAUCGAUCAAAAUUUAGAUAUAGCUCCCAUAUAUAUCUUCGUCCGAUUUGCCCUUUUCUGUGCACCAAACAUCUAAUAUUUGUCCAAAUGGGAUGGAAUUUGGCACUUACGACCGAAUUGAGUCUAGAAGCUAGUAUGUCAAAUUUGGUGAAGAUCGGUUCAGAUAUAGCUAUAGCUCCCAUAUAUAAUGUUCAUCCGAUAUGUUAUAUUAGUUACCCACAGCCGUAAUAUGCACUCCGUAACAAGAUUUUCAGGGAAAUAUAUCAAAUACCACUCAGAAAUAUCUUUACCAAAUUUUAUCGAGAUCGGUUCCGAUUUGGAUAUAGCUCCCAUAUAUAUCUUUAUCCGAUUUCAAAUUAAAUGUGCACCAAAUGGGCAAUACAAGUCCGAAUUUAAAAGAUUCAAAUGCUUCGGCAUAUUGAGUCUUUUGAACUUUAAAUUAUAAUUAUAAUCGUAGCGUGUAUGAUUGAACUCUCCCAUAAAAACUUUUAAUUGUUAUGUGGAGCUCUACUAAAUUAGCAAAGUGGUGUAGGGUAUCAUAAAGUCGGCCCCGCCCGACUUUAAGACUUUCUUUACUUGUUUUUAUUGGAGUCGCAACUUUGCUAUAUUUAAUACUUGUACUCUUUUGUUAAUUGAAUCAUGUAUAUUAAUUUUUGGAGUCCUGUUUGUUAAGAGAGGCGGGAACUCAUUAUUAUAAUCAUGUGUAGAAAGAAUUUGGAAACGGUUUCUAGUCUCUGGAUAAUUUUCGAGUAUCUCCCUUCUAGAUAGGUUUGUUAGGGUCAUAAUGCUGCUGAUAUUUCUUUGAGACUUCCACUUCAAACACUUUUUGGUAUUUGUUGCAAAAUGAUCUGUUUUGUUGCAAAGUAUGCAUCUCGUGUGCAGGUUGUUGUAGAACGACAAUCUAAACAUAUAUCUUCCUUACUGCAAUAUGUGGCACAUAGAAUUUCUUUUCCACAGUUUAGACACUUCUUCGUCGACCUGCAACGAAGAGCAAUGUGGCCUAAACGACCGCAGUUUAAACACAGCCGAACAGGUGGUACAUACAAGCCCGGUGUUACUUUUGUUCCGCACAUAUAUAUUUUUGUAGGAAUUCCAUCAAAAAUAAUACCAAUCUAUAUUUUGUCAGAUUCAAAAUUGUUGAAAGUCAUUCGAAAAGUGUUAUAUCCCACAUACUUGCAAGCAUAGAUAGUGAGAUUGAUUUGCUUUAGACGUAUAUACAAAUGGAGUUUGCAGUUUUUUCUCCUAGAGCUGAUUGGCGUUUCUAACGACACUAUGACAUAAAAUGGCCCUGGAUGGUUUGGCGUGUACAGUAGAUUUCCAUUAUUUAGCGAAUUGUAAUUGCAUUUGGUGUCCAUUUUGUCCGUGGAUUGGGAUAAAAUUAUUUUAUUGGUGUUGGUGUUUUUUAUUGGUAUCCCCAAUAGGUGGAGGAGGGGGGUCUCCGACUCCCUCCAUAAUUGUUUAAAUAAAAAACUUGGCUAAAUUUUCACAAAAAUUUUCCAUAACCAAAAAGAAAACCACUUAAAAAGCAGUAUGUUUGGCCGGGUCGAACUUUGAAUACCCUCCACCAUUUGGAAAUUUUCAAAAAAUAUAAUCUGUUAAACUCUUAAAAAUACCGAAAAAGUUAUAUUGGGGUCUAUAAGAAUGUAGCCGUUAUAUUGGGGUUUACAUAGGCAUUGUUUGUCAUUUGAAACUUGAAAUAAACGGUGAAUACAGUAGCUGAAAUCAUCAGAAAAAUAUAAAUAUAGAGGGAGGUAUCGUUAUAUGGGAGCUAUACGAAGACCUGGUCCUGCAAAGACAACUUUCUGUCACAGGCUGUAGCAUCUAUUGCGAUCUUCAAAUACGACAUCUCAAACAAUUUCGUGUCUUUCGCAACAUUUAUGGUAAUGGUUCAUUCAAAUUUUGGAGAUUAUUGAAUCAUCAAUCAUGUUUACUCUUGUAAUCCGUCGCCCCAGAAUCUAUUUUGAAUACUAAAUCUUCAGACUUAUCUGUAAUUAUUUUACCAUCAGGUACCGCUGACAUGAAACAUAUUGACUUCGAAGCUAACGCUGACAAACGCGGCAAUUAUUUUGUUUAUGGCCCUUUUUCUUACAGCGGAAACACACACCAAGGCAUUUUUUCGACUUCUUCACACCACUAAACGCAGAUGUCGCGGAAGUAUCCAUGUCACAAGGAUCUUGCCUCUUCGUAUCAUCUUCUUCAUUCAUAUUUUUCAACGCGGCCACUACGGGUCAAAAGCUUCUGGUAGCGUGACAAAAAGUUGAGCAACGGUACUGAAACGCGUUAUUCGAUUCAGCAAAUAAAGAGCUUACUAUAGCGGCAUAUUUUUGGGCUAUUUUUUUUCCUACCAGCGAACAGAGGAAUAUGAGGUGGGGCCGCGAAAAGUAAAAUACGGAACUAGCCAGCGUACUUGUGCCCUCGCCUGGAUCAUAGUUGGAAUCACCGACCUGACCACCUUGAGCCGAAUUAGUUCCGACCGUGGAUGUCUUGAUGGUAAGUGUUCAAGAGGCAUAUUGUUGGCAGUAUUGUUUGGAAUGUGGAGCAAUUUGUAUAUUUAAGACAAGAGUUUAUAGUGAAUAAAUAAUAUAAAAAAUCAGUAUACACUAAAGACUAAACUAACUUUUCGUUGUCUAUAUUCUCAUUUGUCAUGGUAACAACCAUGGUAACAUUAAAAAUAACGUCUUGCAAUCAUAUGUUUGGUUUUAAACUAUGGCCGGUUAUUACAUCUUUCCGAUGGAUAAAAAAUUAUCUGGUUGACACAUAAACCGUUAUUCAUUAUUACAUGUUUCAUUUAAGUAUGAACCAUCCGAUAAGCAAAGUACUAUUAUCACUUCUUCAUUUACUGAUUUAAUUUUGCCAUAUUCUAUGUUGAUAAUAUGGCAAUAACAAAAAUUUUUUUUAAAUAAGAAAUGGAUAGCGCUGACCGUUUAUUUUAUAUUGAAGAACUGAAUUAUAGAUUUAUUUCACGAAAUUAAUUACAAUUUCGUUUUGUUUAUUAUUUUUAAACACUAAGUGCUGGGGGUAUUAUAGUUUGAUCGGCACACAUGUGACUCCUCGAUAUCUUGGUUCUGAAUAUAGUAAUGUAUAUAUGUAUUUUCCCAUCUCGCCGAACUGACUCAAGUUGCAAUUGUGAUCCAAUUCCCCCAAAUAGAACACCAGUGUAAGCCAUUUCUAAGUGUUCGUUUACUCAAUCUGUACUUUUGUCAUGGAAGAUAAGGAGGUAAAUAGAUACACUUUCCAGCUAAUCGAAAACGAAAACUUCUUCGGCCAUAUGUCCCAGUUUUGAUUUCCUUCGGCUUGAUUUUACCCCUUUCGUGCACAAUAAACAUUAUAAACAUGAAAUCGGAUGAAGAUAUAUCUAAAUCUGAAUCGUUUUCCACAAAUAGAUCUAAAGUUUAUCCAUAAGAUUACAAAACCCUUCUGUGUGAAAACUGACCCACAUUUUUUACAUAAUGCAGAUGCUGCUGAUCAUUCUUUUUGUUAAAAUGUUGUAGACACUACGUUAUUUCUAGUAAUACUUCAAAGUUGAAAUGAAUGAAUAUUUAUUCUAAUCAUAAAAUUAUUCUAAACCAAGAAUGUUUUUUUAAUUUCUUUUCUUUCUACAAAACAUGGCGUUGGAAAAGGGAUAAGCUAUACUGAACUCAUCGGGUGCAUAAGCAUCAACAUAACAUAAUUUUUCCUGGACUAUGAUUAGCGUAGGCUACACCCACUGCACUUUUUGUUUGUUUUUUUUUUUCAACACAUGUAAAUCCUCGGUGUGUGUCUAUCUCUGUAUGUACAGAGAUAGGGCAAUAACAAAAGACUUGGACAGAAACUUGUACAAAGGCUCACAUUCUAAUUCUGUAACUAAAUGUGACGAUAUUGUUGUUGGUCAUAUACUACAAUACUAUAUUUUACAAGCAUAGUACCACAUAUUGGACAAAUAACAGUGGAAAUGACGAAGAGCAAAAUAAUUUAAAUAAAUAAAUGGACACCGAGAAUCAACUUAUUCUAUUAUUGCACUUAAUAAAAAUUAUUGCACUAUAGAAUAAAAGUCUCGGCUAUUUGCUAAUCGCACCUCACUAUGAAACUAUUUUUUUAUAUCCUUGGCAUGAUAAGCUCACGAAGCGUCGAAUUUUGAUGUUUAUAAUCUGUACAUAUUGUUACCAAGUACUUCAAAGACUCGACACAUAGUAAAUUUACUGCAAAAAUUGGCAUUGUAGUUAUCCUGAAAUUUGCUAAGUACAAAAUUACGUUUGUAAUUUUCCUGUCUGGGACUAAAACGUACGACUCUUGCCCUUCUAUUGUAUCGGAUCGCACUUCUCUCGUAAGCUUGAUGCAAAUUUUUUGAUUCUGUAUCUUAUUAUACUGAUCCUAUUAUUCUGAUAUUGUAAUAACAAUUCCGUAUCGCUUAUAGUCUUUCCCGCAAGUAAACAUAUUGUGGCCAAAUAAGUAAAAAAAACGGUGUUACCCCUGCGUGGACUGACGUUCGUAGCGCUAGGUCUAUUUUUGCGUUGGAUUGUUGGCGUUGGAUUGCAGUGCACAGUCAGCGAUCCUGAUAGGGUCUAUCUGGAAGUCUUUCAUCGUUUUCUGAAAUUAUUUAGAAACGAAUUGCUUCCCGUUGUCGGUGUGAAUCACCUCCAGAAAAUUUGGUUAGGUGAUCCACUAUAACCGGAAUAUAAACAUUCCCCUUUCCUGAACGUGGGUACUUUCCCAAGAAAUCUAUAUAAAGUCUUUGGCACGGGCGGUCUGUCUGUACUUCAUUUCCAAUUUGAGCCAUCAUAUGUAUGUUGCAUACUUUGCAGUUUUUUAUAAAGUUGCUUACGUGGACAAUCAUAUUGGGCCAAUAAUAUUUAAAUUUGAGGUUCGUGGACCAUUUGAAUAGGCUUUUCGGAACCCACAGUUUCCACUAAAAUACUUCUAGUUCCAUUUCGACUCCGGGUGCUGUUGUUUUAAAUACCAUACCAUGUUCCACAUUUAUGUGUGGAAAUUGCUCUUUAUUGUCCUCUAUUGUUUUAUUAAGUCCAUAUAUUCUUCAGAAUUCUAUGUCGAAAUCGAACAUCUGCAAAUUUAGCUCCCACAGUGCUAACCUGCCAUUUAGAUCCCGUAGAGCCAUAAGCCGCUUUAGAUUCAGCCGGCGACUCCUAUAAAGCUUCGUACUUCUCUAACAUUUUUAGGAGCAGGGAUUUUUCUAAUAGCAUCCACUUUAGAAUGGUCCGGCUUCAUGACACCUCAUCCGACCAUGAAUCCUAAGUAGUAUACUUCUUUAUGACAACGUUCUGACUUAUUUAUCCCUAUCCAAAUAAGCAUUUGGCCACUUUCCCUAAAAGUCACAAGUCUGCAUAACCUUUGUGUCGCAUUACACAGACCGAACGGCAUAGCCACAUACUGGAACAAAGGACCUCCAGAUACUGCGAUUGUGGUAUAAUGCCUGGAUUUUGGGUCCAACUCAAUCUACAAAAUGCAAACAAAGGUCCACAUUGUCCUCAAGUCUGCUAAGUAUGCCCUCGAAGUUUUGGAUGGGGUAUGCGUCUUUAACUGUGCGCUCGUUUAACUUCCUCGCAUCGAAACAUAAACGAUUUUUCGGGGUUUUCGGUUUCGAAGCAUUUUAUCUACUUAUGUAUAAGUGAGAAUCUGGACCGCUGAAGAUACCGGGUAAUAUCUAUCUUCAUCUGAAUGGGAACCUUCCUUUAACGGUAUGUACCUCCUAAUUCGUCUUCACAAGACCAUAUUCAUCGUAAGUAUUAAAUAUCUUUUUCAAAUUCACCAAAUUUGAACAUCUCAUCGCAAAGUUCAUGUUCAGAAUUCUCACUUAUUAAUGAAGUAUAGUCUUGUAAUACUCCCUCACUGAUUUCCUCUAUACCAAAAGAUUUGGGCUAGUUUACAUUUGUUAAGAAAUAUACAUACCCCAAAUUAGCAGACGACAGACGUUCAAGUUUGAACUGAUUGCUUAACAGGUCUACACAUUUCAUUUUCAUUUUUAAAUGUAUUCCUAACUUACUUAUUUUACUAGAGACAUUUUUGCUAAUAUUUUCUUCCUUACUACUAACAAUGUUAUUUAGAUCCUCAACUAUAUAUCUUGCGCUAACAUCUACUUCGUCCUGUUGUACACUCGUGGUGUUUUCAUGGGGGUUUAUGUACAAUUCCAUAGCUAUCCUCCUCACUAUUAAAUAUUCUAUAUUUGAUUUUUGGUGAAAGGUUAGAAAGGUAUAACUCUGCUUGCACCAAAACUCAAAUACCUUUUCCAUUUCUUUUCUUUAACUAUCAUCCCUCUUUUAAUUAUUUCUUUCUUUUUCUGAUUACCUGAAUUAUCCCAAGCUACCUACACACUCUGGACCAUAUUUAUUGUUCGGGAGUUGGAAUCGGAUGCAUCUCUCCCGGCUUCGAACUGCCCUUCAUGCCGUUUUCCACACACUUGAGGCACAGAAUGCACUGUGAAAUCGGACACUUGAUACAGAUAUGUUCAUAUGCUUGACAGUUCCAACAGGCUUUGCUAAGUUUUAUUUCUUCAACAAAUCCAACCUCGUUAUCACUUUGGGUUUGUGACUGUUCCUCGAUGUAUACUUAAUUUACCGCAACUGGUCGAUUGUAUAUAUUUUCAUAGAGUAUAUGAUAUGGGAUAAAUCAGCAUGCAAAUUUCUCAUCACAAUCCUUAUCAUGUCUACUUCGGGUAAUGGAGUACGUAGUUUGGCUCGAAGUUUUUUAAUGCCUGGAAAUAUUCAUCAAUGAUUUAUUUUUUAUUUUGAGCAAAUAAUCAGUAAACUCCAUGAUAGAUGACAUAAUACUUAUAUACAUAAUGUUUAUUUUGGCUUGGCCAAAAUUUUGUUAAAAUAUCAUUAAAUGGUUAGUGGAUUGCUAUUUAAUUUUUCAAUGUCAGUAACUCUUUAGUGGUAAUGAAAUUCUAAUAGCACUAGCACUAAUUAUUUAAUUCUUAGUGCACUAAAAAUUUCGUGCAAUAUGCCCAACCUGUUCGUGGUAUUAGAUGAAUAAUGGUCUUCUCGACGUAUCUUCAUUUGACUCCCUUCGUUCGAAUCCAGACGCCUGUGUGCCAUGUUUUCUGUAGUUCCAUGGGGUUUCACUGCAGCAUUCAUGAUUGGAUUUUGACUUCCCCCUAAGCCAUGUAACCUUGAUGAACCUUCGCUACCAUUUUCAUUCUGUUUGUUCUCUACAGUCACUUUAUUAAUCUCUUUCAUAACGCUUUAAAAAUCUGCCUGCGUAGUUUGGUGUAUCCUUGUUUCUAAUCUAUCCUCUAAUAGGUACUGAAACGCGUUAUUCGAUUCAGCAAAUAAAGAGCUUACUAUAGCGGCAUAUUUUUGGGCUAUUUUUUUCCUACCAGCGAACUGAGGAAUAUGAGGUGGGGCCGCGAAAAGUAAAAUACGGAACUAGCAAGCGUACUUGUGCCCUCGCCUGGAUCAUAGUUGGAAUCACCGACCUGACCACCUUGAGCCGAAUUAGUUCCGACCGUGGAUGUCUUGAUGGUUUGACCACAACGGACCACUUAUCCCUGGCCAACCUGGUUCCCUCUCUAUAACGCAGGACUACUUACUCUGUCGCCAAUCACUUUACGCGUUCUCUGCCUACGGGGAAUCUUCUGGGCACUAUAUGUCUGCUGGAACUUGGUCACAAAUGAUGAAGAACAGAAAAAAGCCUUCGUAUACAAAGAAAAAUUAUAAGGCAAAGGUCAGAUAUAUUUAACCUACCACAUAUCAAGUUUCAAAACCAUUUUCGCAUCAAUAAAGCAGCAUUUAAAUACUUGCUUGAUACUAUUGAGCCGAAAAUGAAGAAAAGUAUUCGGUAAACUUCUGUGUCCACCACAAUAAAGUUGGCUACAACUUUACGCUUUUUGGCACCGAGGAUGAGAAAGCCGAAGCAAAACUAGCUUUUUUUGAAAAAACAGGGUUUUCCAGGCGUCAUUGGAUGCAUAGAUGGGACCCACAUAAAGAUAAUUACACCGAAGAAGGAGAAGCAAAGCAUUUAUUAUAACCGUAAAGGAUUUUUUAGUUUAAAUGCUAUGAUUAUUUGCGAUCACAAAAUGCGGAUAAGGUAUUUGGAUGCUCAACAUGCUGGCUCAGCACAUGACUCCUUGAUUUGGAAUAUGAGCCACGCCAAACAAAUUUUGCGCGAACGUUAUGAUGGUGGUGACCGUAAUAGUUGGAUUUUAGGUGAUGCAGGCUAUCCGCUAGAGCCAUACCUGAUGACGCCAUAUCGUUCUUCUCAAGAAGGGAGUGCUGAGGCUGUUUUUAACAAUAAACAUGCCAAAGCAAGAAAUAUUAUUGAAAGAACCAUUGGUGUUUUAAAAAA